rnacentral:rRNA from 1 species
AGGGUUUGAUCAUGGCUCAGGAUGAACGCUAGCGGCAGGCUUAACACAUGCAAGUCGAGGGGUAACAGGGAUUGCUUGCAAUCCGCUGACGACCGGCGCACGGGUGCGUAACGCGUAUGCAACCUACCUUUUACUGGGGGAUAGUCAAGAGAAAUUUUGAAUAAUACCCCAUACGAUCUGAUUCACUCCUGUGAAACAGAAGAAAAUUACGAUGGUAAAAGAUGGGCAUGCGUCCUAUUAGUUAGUUGGUGAGGUAACGGCUCACCAAGACUACGAUAGGUAGGGGUCCUGAGAGGGAGAUCCCCCACACUGGUACUGGGACACGGACCAGACUCCUACGGGAGGCAGCAGUGAGGAAUAUUGGACAAUGGAGGCAACUCUGAUCCAGCCAUGCCGCGUGCAGGAUGACGGCCCUAUGGGUUGUAAACUGCUUUUAUACAGGAAGAAACGUUAGUACGUGUACUAACCUGACGGUACUGUAAGAAUAAGGAUCGGCUAACUCCGUGCCAGCAGCCGCGGUAAUUC